AGGCAGAAGUCUUUGGAGAGCUACUGAAGAGUGAACUGGUUAGAAUUAGUCCUGUGACAAAGGCUCAAACAAUUGCUGUUAGAUUCUACCUUGCUGCCCUUAAAUGUAUUCAAGAAGAGGACAUAAGGGAUUUGUGUAAAGGAAGACUGAAUUAUGCAGAAGCUAAGAUUAUCUGACUUACAAAGUUCCUUCAAAAUUUUAUGCUGAAUCCCAAAUGCCUUCUGCUUCAUCAUGCUUUAGUUACAAAAGGGAUUACAUCAAGACUAAUAUCUCAAAUUUCCCUGGAUUUUUUACCCUACCUGUGUUUAGCAGGACGUCAGCUUCCUGCUAAAUGACCUCCUAUAAAUGCGCAAGUACCCAGGCAUUUCAAAUAUGCCUCCACAGUCCUCUAAGUCUACUCAUAUCCUCUCAUCAGUAAUAUGUGCUGAUUAUAAAGCCACUUGAGGAUGGAGCCUCCCCACUUGUUGGUGCCCUCAGUCUGAAUUCCAGUCCUCAGCCAAAGGUGACGAAUCUCAAGGUUACAGCAAUUCAAGUUCCAAAAUGACAAAGAACCAAGCUGGCUUCACUCCCUCCACCCCCACAGAAAAUGGAAAACAAAUAUACAGCACCAAUUUAUCAUCAGCAAUAUCCCAGAAUUCAAACGUGAGGAAGAGACAGUUCUCAGGGCCACAAAGAAGUGAAAAAACUCCAGGCAAGCUGUAAGGUAUUUGAUGCCUUUCCCCAUAAUCUGCCCACCACGAAGUGUGUGGAAUACUUCCCCCAACUCACAGUUUCUACACUGGAUCUCAGUCCUGGAAACUGUUCCUUAACUCAAUCAAAGGAGAUGCCAAAUCAGAGGGGCUAUUCCACAGCACCAUGCUACAGGAGGUAUAUUCCAUAGAUCCCCUGGGCAUGAGCCCCUGGCCAGCCUCCCAACACUGCCAGAAUAUCCCCUUUGGACUUUUCCCAUUCAGUAUGGGCAGCAACCCAAUCAUUUACUACAGCCAGGCAAACUUUGGCUUAAGGUACCAUCCAGCAACAAAAAGAAGGCAGCAACCUAGAAAAAAAAAAUCAACAGGUAAACUAAAAAGAAUCUCUAAGAAAACAAGUCAAGUAAAAAACAAAACAAGCCAGACAGGGAAGAUUGGAAUAAAUAACCUUUCAAUGCAAAGACAUAGAAAGACAUCCCCAAGAAGCAAUAGCAAACAGGAAACCAUUAUCUCUCCAAAUGGACAAACCAAGGAACCAGCUACUGAUGCCACUGAGAGAGUGAUAUGUGAGCUCUCUCACAUAAAAAAAUAGCAGUUUUAAGGAAAUUCAGUGAUCUCCAAGUUAACACAGAAAGCAAUUCAGGAAUUCAUCUGAGAAAUUUAGCAACAAUAUUAAAAUAAUUUUUAAAAAACAAAAAUCUUGCAACUGAGAAAUACAUUGGCUGAACUGAAAAAAAUCAUUAGAGGCUCUCAACAACAGAAUGGAUCAAGCAGAGGAAAGAAUCGGAGAGCUUGAAGACAAGCAUUUGAAAAUACGAUCAGAGGAGAAAGAAGAAAAACAAUGAAAAAUAUGAAGAUGAUCUACAUGAAAUAGAAUAUUACCAGAAAAGACCAAAUCUAAGAAUUAUUUGUGUCUAAGAGGGAGUUGAACAAGAGCAAAAGGUAAAAGCUUCAAAGAAAUAAUGUUGAAAUUUUUCCAAAACUUGAGAAAUACAUAAAUAUCCAGGUAGAGGAAGGUCAGAGAAUAUCAAAGAGAUUCGACCCAAAUAAUACUAACUCAAGUCAUCUAAUAAUCAAAUCCUCAAAGGUAAAGGAUAAAGAGAGGAUCCUAAAAGCAGCUAGAAGAAAGAAGCAAGUAACAUAUAAAGGACUCCAAUUCAUCUGAUAAUUUCAAGAGAAAUUCAUCUGAUAAUUUCAAGGGAUGUUAGAGGCCUCACACUACCUAACUUCAAAAUGUACUACAAAGCUAUGGUAACCAAAUCAGUAUGGUACUGGCAUAAAAACAGACACAUAGACCAAUGAAACAGAAUAGAGAAUCCAGACAUAAACCCAUGCAUUUAUAGCCAACUCACUUUCUUUCUUUUUUUUUUUUAAUUAUACCUUAAGUUUUAGGGUACAUGUGCACAAUGUGCAGGUUUGUUACGUAUGUAUAUAUGUGCCAUGUUGGUGUGCUGCACCCAUUAACUCGUCAUUUACAUUAGGUAUAUCUCCUAAUGCUAUCCCUCCCCCCUCCCCCCACCCCAUGACAGGCCCUAGUGUGUGGUGCUCCCCACCCUGUGUCCAGGUGUUCUCAUUGUUCAAUUCCCACCUAUGAGUGAGAACAUGCGGUGUUUGGUUUUCUGUCUUUGCAAUAGUUUGCUCAGAAUGAUGGUUUCCAGCUUCAUCCAUGACCCUACAAAGGACAUGAACUCAUCCUUUUUUAUGGCUGCAUAGUAUUCGAUAGCCAACUCAUUUUCAACAAAGGCACCAAGAACAUUCAUAGGGUGAAAGGAUAGUCUUUUCAAUACACUGUGCUGGGAAAACUGGAUAUUCAUAUACAGAAGAAUGAAACUAGAAUCCUAUCUUUCACCAUAUAAAAAAAUCAAAUCAAGAUGGAUUAAAAACUUAUAUUGAAGACCCAAAACUGUGAAAUUACUAGAAGAAAACAUUGGGAAAAUGUUCCAGGACAUAGAUCUGGGCAAAGAUUUUGAAUAAGGCCUCAAAAUCACAGGCAGCCAAAGCAAAAACAGACAAAUGGGAUUCUAUCAAGCUUAAAAGCUUCUGCACAGAAAAGAAAACAAUAAACAAAAUGAAGAGACAACCCAUAUAAUGGCAGAAAAUAUUUGCAAACUAUCCAUGUAGCAAGGAAUUGAUAACCAGAAUAUAUAAAGAGCUCAAACAACUCAGUAGCAAAAAACCAACUAAUCCAAUUUAAAAGUGGGCAAAAGAUCUGAACAGACAUUUCUCAGAGGAAAACAUACAAAUGACCAACAGGUAUAUGAAAAAUGUUCAACAUCACUAAUAAUCAGAGAAAUGCAAAUCAAAUCACAAUGAGAUAUCUUCUCACCCCAGUUAAAAUGACUUCUUCAAAAAGACAAGGAUAAGGGAUACUGGUGAGGAUGUGGAAAAAGGAGAACUCUCAUACACUUGGUGGGGACAUAAAUUAGUAUAGCCACUAUGGAGAAGAGUUUGGCGGUUCCUCAAAAAACUAAAAAUAGAACUAUCAUAUGAUCCAGCAACUGCACUACUGAGUAUACAUCCAAAAGAAAUGAAAUUAAUGUAUUAAAGAGAUAUCUGCACUCCCAUGUUUAAUGCAGCACUAUUCACAAUAGCCAAAAUAUAAAAUCAACCUAAAUGCCUAUCAAUGGAUAAACAGAUAAUGUGACAUAUAUAUAGAAUGGAAUAUUAUUUGGCCAUAAAAAGAAUGAAAUCCUGUCAUUUGCAGCAACAUGGAUGGAACUGGAGGUCAUUAUGUUAAGUGAAAUAAGCCAAGCACAGAAGACCAAAUAUUACAUGUUCUCACUCAUGUAGGAACUACAAAAGUGGAUCUCAUGAAGAUCUCUAGAAAGUAGAUUGAUGGUUACCAGAGGCCAGAAAGGGCAGAGGGAAGGAGCAUAAGGAGGUUGAUAAAUGGAUACAAAUAUACAAUUAGAUAGAAAUAAGACCUAGUGUUUGAUAGAUCAGUAGGAUGAUACUAGUUAACAAUAAUCUAUUGUACAUUUCAAAAUAGCCAGAAGAGAAAAAUUUGAAUAUUACCAGCAUAAAGAUAAGAUAUUUAGGUAAUGGAUAUCCCAACUACCUUGAUUUGGUCUUUACAUAUUAUAUGAAUGUGUCAAAAUAUCCUAUGUAUCCCCAAAAUAUGUAUAUGUAUUAUACAUCAAUAAAAAAU
rnacentral:lncRNA from 1 species